rnacentral:rRNA from 1 species
UACGAAGGGUGCAAGCGUUACUCGGAAUUACUGGGCGUAAAGCGUGCGUAGGUGGUGAGUUAAGUCUGAUGUGAAAUCCCCGGGCUCAACCUGGGAAUGGCAUUGGAUACUGGCUCGCUAGAGUGCGGUAGAGGGUGGUGGAAUUCCCGGUGUAGCAGUGAAAUGCGUAGAGAUCGGGAGGAACACCAGUGGCGAAGGCGGCUACCUGGACCAGCACUGACACUGAAGCACGAAAGCGUGGGGAGCAAACAGG